rnacentral:rRNA from 1 species
ACAGCAGCAGCCACGGGAAUACGUAGGGUGCAAGCGUUAAUCGGAAUUACUGGGCGUAAAGCGUGCGCAGGCGGUUAUAUAAGACAGAUGUGAAAUCCCCGGGCUCAACCUGGGAACUGCAUUUGUGACUGUAUAGCUAGAGUACGGCAGAGGGGGAUGGAAUUCCGCGUGUAGCAGUGAAAUGCGUAGAUAUGCGGAGGAACACCGAUGGCGAAGGCAAUCCCCUGGGCCUGUACUGACGCUCAUGCACGAAAGCGUGGGGAGCAAACAGGAUUAGAGACCCCAGUAGUCCCUGUCUCUUAUAC